rnacentral:rRNA from 1 species
GUUAGGAAUAUUGGACAAUGGGCGCAAGCCUGAUCCAGCCAUGCCGCGUGAACGAUGAAGGCCUUCGGGUUGUAAAGUUCUUUAGCCGAUGAUUAUAAUGACUGUAGUCGGAAAAUAAGCCCCGGCUAACUUCGUGCCAGCAGCCGCGGUAAUACGAAGGGGGCGAGCGUUAUUCGGAAUCACUGGGCGUAAAGCGUGCGUAGGCGGUCUCGUAAGUUAGGAGUGAAAGCCCAGGGCUCAACCUUGGAAUUGCUCUUAAUACUGCAAGGCUAGAAUCUCGGAGAGGAUAGCGGAAUUUCCAGUGUAGCAGUGAAAUGCGUAGAUAUUGGAAGGAACACCAGUGGCGUAAGCGGCUAUCUGGACCGAUAUUGACGCUGAGGCACGAAAGCGUGGGGAUCAAACAGGAUUAGAAACCCCAGUAGUCC